rnacentral:lncRNA from 1 species
UUCUUUUUUUUUUUUUUUUUUUUUUUUUUCUCAGAGCUGGGGACCAAACCCAAGGCCUUGCGGUUGCUAGGCAAGCGCUCUACCACUGAGCUAAAUCCCCAACCCCGGUCUCAUGAAUCCUAAGUAAGCUCUCUUCAACUCUGCGCCCUGACAAGCUUGGUUUCCUAGUCUUUGUAUCCACCUUAGGCCUUAUUUGUAUGAACACCUACCUUGUAAAUUUUAUGAACCCGUAUAGUUUUUAAGUCUCAGUAAGUGAUGGUGUAUAAAAUAUCUGCCCAGUAAGUACAUUAUUGCACGAAUAAUACUUAUAAUAAUAAUAAUUAUGCAUGAGGUAAACUUUAUAAAGGUUUUAAUAUAAGAGGUCUUAACUGAUACAGGAAAAACCAGGAACGAGAAGUUGAUGUUGUAAGCUUGCUUAGGAAAUAUUAAGUAGAAUUUAGCAAAAGAAGCACUCCGAUUCUCUUAGCAUAAUUCUCCCAGGCAGGCAGGAUGGCCCAGAUUAACGGCUGCCUGUGAAAAGCAGUGCUGGUCUGUCUUGAUAUAACCAUGACAGUACUUUACAUUGUAAAUUUACCCCAUUUGUCCAAACAACCAAAUCUUGGAAUUUCUAACUGAAAUGUAGUUAAUGACUCAAAGUAUAACUUGGAGCCUGGAAAGUAUAUCAGUUGGCAGGGGUUUCUGUUCAGGACCGCUUCCCCUUUGUCCAUUAGCCAGAAGCAGUCAUGUGCUGACACGAAAAGAGCUUUCCUUUUUAAUGCCUAAGAGAUGGAGUGACUUCUCCCUGGGAAGGUAUAUGAAUUCUAUAACAUCACCCGUUCUGCUGCUGCUGAAGCUUAAAAAUCCAGUCUGUUCGAAGACUAGACUCGUGAGAGACGACCCUUCUAGACACUUUAAUUGGACUACAAAAUAAACUGGAUUACUAGAAGAACCAAAUUCUAUUGUAUAUAUAAAUACAAGAAUUCCACAAAAUCCGAGACUUAGAAAAUUGAUGCUUAGAUCCUGUCCUCAUCUAUAGAACAGGGCUUAGGUCUCCUAGAAACUGGAAGAGCAGAGAAAACUAUAAUGAGUAAAGGUGGUCUUGUAGACAUUGGGAGGUCCUUUGAUACAUAAAACUGACAAUUGUAAAUAUACAAAUUUUCAACUUGUGUAUUAAAAAAAAGGAAAAAGUAA